AGAUAGAACACUUAAAAAUAUCUGUUUCUAUGCUGAGGGCUCUCUUUUCAGCGCUCUCUCUCUCUCUCUCUCUCUCUCUCUCUCUCUUUAAUCUUUUCACUUUGUCAUGGUAUCUUUCACAGCACAAAAGUUUUUAAUUCUCAUAAAAUCCAACUUAAUUUUUCUGUUGUUGCUAACGAUUUUUGUGUUGGAUACAGGAAGGCCUUUUCUAAUCCUAAGUCAAAAAUAUUUACUUCUGUUUUCUUCUAAGGCUUCUGUGAUUUUAGUUCUUAUGUAGAUUUGUGAUUUGUUUUGAGUUAUUUUUUGCAUAUAAGAGCCAAGAAAGCUAUAUAGGCUCAAUAAACACCUUUUUCCAGCUGCAGUUCUUCUUGACUUAUUUGAACCCAUCCGGACAGCUCAAAGGGAGGUAUGAAGUGAACUUAAGCAAGGUAUAGACACUUAGCAGAAAUCGCCUCUGGAGAGAAGACACUCGUGUUCCUUCUCGGGUAUGUCAGUAUCUGAUUUUGAUGUCAGUGCUUUUGAAAGUGCCUGACUGUGCCAAGACAGAAUCUACAUGUUGAAAGCGGCUCCACUGGGUAUGAAAGAGGUUAUACAGAAAAGCAGUUGCCCCAUGCAAUAAUCAAGUUAGAAAAGGGCAGGUCUAAGGAAGCCAUCUAAUUGGCAAAAGAAAGUCCAGCCCAGCAAUUACAGAACACCACCCACACAGCUUGGAUCUACCCCACCUGGCUGUUUCCCUACAGCAUGAAAAAAAAAAAAGUCAAAACAAUCAGACCAUUUUCUAAAUGGAAUAAAACAUUCCAGUGCAAGCAAUAAUUAGGAGAUAACUACCCUCCUGGCUGCUUUCCGCAUCGACCUCUGGCCCCCUGCCUCCCAGCGCACCUGAGACAUGCAAUUAAAUCACACCCGUCCUGCGCUAGGAUUGCACACUCGAGAGCACCCUGCAGCCUCUCCGGGGGUUUGUUUCCCCACUGACUCCUAGAGACAGGUUGUUCCUUAGUCCAGAGAGGUCAGGCAACCCACUAGGCAUGAGGCCAUGUGCUUCUCUCUGUCUCUCACAAAGCACCCAGAAUACUGUACUGCAUUGGCUGCAUUUAUCCGGAGUCCACCUCCGUACCCUAAAUCUAGGCAUCUGAAUAUAGACGAAGAUGUCAAGAUGGCUCUUCUUGCUUUCUUCCUGAGGUAGUCAGAUGGGGUUCAGGCACCUCAGAGAGAAUAGGAUGACAGGAAGCGGUUGACAGAAAGUGUUUGCAGGCAUCGAAGCAAGCCAAGGGUAGAGUUGGAGUUAAAUGUAAGAGUCCAAACUUCUCGAAUCUAGCAUUCGCACCAGCAUUACAUUCUGCUGAAUGCACAGGAUCGAGUAAGACAUGCCACUGGUCUUACUGCUUCCUAUGCGUCCACGCUCACCCACUAGAAGCCAGGUCCCUCUCCCCUCCCUCCUCCAGCACAGUUGGGACCAUGGAAUUGAUGAUGCUGAGAAAAAAAAUGUCUGGACUCUCCUCCAUGAAUCUUUCCUACAGCAUUGCCAUUCUCAUUAGCUGUUUGUCCCAGUCUGAUGACCCCAUGUCCCAUUAGGCCUCAAACUGUGUCCCAGAGCUGAAUCAGGGGACCAAGUACUCAGGACUCCCCUCAACCAAGAGAGAAGCUUGAGGGGUCUUAGAAGCCUGUAGAAUUCACUUUUGCCUUCCUAUCAUGGCUUCGACAAGCUCAGAUUCUUUGAAAACAUGGAUUGUGUCGACAACAAACACUAAAAACCACGAUGGCUAACCUCCCUUGUCUGCGUCCCAUGUGGCGAACACUAGCCUAGGUAUUUUAGAGAUGUUACCUCAGAUAGCAGAACUCUGCGAAGUAGAUGUGAGACUUUACCAAGGAGACACACAGUAACCUGUCCAGGGUCAUAACCGGUAACAGUUUCACUGAACUGUUCACUCUGGAGACAAUUCAAAAGCAAGUGGCACCUGUGUGUGACACUAUAGUCUUCCCACAUUGCAGUGUAUGGUCGGUCCGCUUUCAGAAGGGAACUGGGUGUUAACACUGCAGACCACUAACAAAUGAGACAUUUUCAGCCAGAUAUAAAUGCUGUGGAUCCCCAGAAAUGGAAUAUGGGAUAAGCAUCCCAGCUAAUGUGCAAAAUUAAAUUUACUCAACCCGCUAUAGGUUACACAUGCUGACCAGUCAAAACUAGUUAGAGAUCCUAUCUGGCUCUUGGCAGCUUUGUCCUUGGCAGCCUUGAGAGUGAGUCUGAGAAUCAAAUGCUAAUCUUUUUCCAGUUCCAAUUAGGUUACUUGCCUUGAGACAUCUUUAUUACCCAAUUAUCUUUUUCUUUCCUUCUCAGUACCUGAAGAGAUAGCCUUGAAAGAGUUUUAGCGGGGAAAUAUAUGAGGCAAUCUGGAGCUCAACAAUGCCCUGCUGUUCUGAGGGAGUCUGAACUCCACACUUACAACUGCGCACCAUGCCUUGUGUGUGGCUUCCACCAUUCUGAAGUUCCUUCUGCCCCUUCUUUCUGCCCAAAGCCCAUUCCCCACCAUCACUGGACACGUUGCCAUCCAUCCCACUGAAACCAGUUUACGGACGCCUCUUCCACAAAGCCUUCCCUCCUCUUCUCUGCUCCUGAAGCGGUAUGUCAGCCCUUCCAUGGUUGCUUUGAUUACUCUGUUUAACCUAGCUUUCAGGUCUGUCUCAGUGACUCAACUGAAAGUAUUUUUAUGUUCUGUGUGUUUUAAUUAGUCUUUUUAAUUAGCAUAUAAAACGUUAACUUCAUUAAGCAUUCUCAAACAUCAUUUGUUUGUGAUGGCUUUCCUGCCUUCCUCCCUCUCUGCCUCCCUUUGCACUCCUUAUCUCACCCUUCCUGCCCCUUCAACAUCCCUUUCUGCUCUCACGGGCCUUUUGGGUUUUGUCCCUUACACUCAUACUCACAGCCACCACAUGGAAAUGCAAGUACCUCAAAACGUUUUUAAGGUUCAACUUGUCACUCCAACCCUAUUACCUGAUACGAAAUAACUGGCUGUUCCUAACAUGAACUGAACUAAAAGCUUGGUUCUCUUCUCUCCUGAAGGGAUCUGAAUUGGCCCAGAAUGUUCUCUGAUGUUAAAGCUGCUGAGUUCCUUCCAUUUUUGAAGCACAUGGCUGAAAACAUCAUCUACAACUGUGCUGGCAGUGGAGUGGCUAAUAAAAAUCAGGUGAUGUCACAGUUCAGAGUGCACAUGUUUGUCCCACAGGGGGACUGGGUGGUGCUGGCCAAGAGGACGGGUUGUCAGUUCGUUAUUCGUAUGACUCAUGCAAAGAUUGCUGAUAACCAAUUUAAACAAUACUCUGCUGCUCUGGAGACAUUGAUUACCACAAUGAUGAUUGAUGAGGAAAGAGAAAGGUGGUGGGACGAAAAAGAAAAAGGACCCAAGGGGAGUGCCCCAGAUGGGCAGGGAGGGGCUCUCAGAGGAAUGGCCCAGCACCUCUCACUCCCCGAACUCAGUUCCCUUAGUGAACAACAUCCACCCCCAAUUUCCACAAGUCCCAUAUGUGUAGAGCCUUAUAGAAUUUUCAGAAUGACUCAAUUUAUCUGAAUCUCGUUAUCCUUCAGUUUUAACUUCUGUCUGCAGCUGUCUUCGUUCCUGCAACUCUGAACUCUUUGAGGGGUUGAUCUCGAACUAAAUAACCGAAUCAUUCUGCAUGCCCUUCCUGGGCCUUCUUUCUCCACCUUCAGAACAAAUUCCACUAGAAGCACGGGUUAUGUUUUAUUCUCGUCCCUGUGCUGCCUACGACAGGGAUGGCUAGCAGAGGAGCAGCAGUGACUCUGCAGUUUAGACGUGAAGUGGGUCCAUAGCAUCCUCUCUAAAUGGAAAAACGUCCAGGGGUGGGACUUCAAGAACGUGACUGCACUGUGAGGGCUCUGGAGUCACAGCAGGCUCUCUCAAUCGAAUAGGUCACUGGGAGGUGGGAGCCAGCUGAAGGGAGCAUGCUACAAAAUAUCUUGGCAUCCCCAGCCCUGCCAUGGAUCUCCGAGAUCAGACUCCCUAGGAGGGAGGGGAGCUUAUCCUGCUACCCAGUAACUGUGAUGGCCGCCAAGGUUAAAGACUACCGCAUUCAAGGACGCAGGCACAGAAGCGUGCGUCUCUUUUUAUAACUACUGCCAGAAGGUACUGAGCUAUUGCUGGGAGGAGAACGGAGAUCUUUAGUGUGCUGGGACCGGAGUCUAGCACAGUCAUCAUCAAAGAGACCAGAGAGACCUCAUCCAGCUACUGAUGGGAGCAGAUGACAAGGACCACAGCCAAAGAAGUCAAGUUCAAACAGCCUCCCUCUACAGCCAGUGCCUCAGAAGAUCUUCCUGUCUCGAAGUCCAAACCACCAGAGAUCCUU
rnacentral:sRNA from 1 species